rnacentral:rRNA from 1 species
UACGAAGGGGGCGAGCGUUGUUCGGAGUUACUGGGCGUAAAGGGCGCGUAGGCGGCGAUCCAAGUUAGGCGUGAAAGCCCCGGGCUUAACCUGGGAAUUGCGCUUAAGACUGGACUGCUUGAGUGCGGGAGAGGUGAGUGGAAUUCCCAGUGUAGAGGUGAAAUUCGUAGAUAUUGGGAAGAACACCAGUGGCUAAGGCGGCUCACUGGCCCGCAACUGACGCUGAGGCGCGAAAGCGUGGGGAGCAAACAGG